UCCGUAGGUGAACCUGCGGAAGGAUCAUUACUGUGAUUUAGUACUACACUGCGUGAGCGGAACGAAAACAAAAACACCUAAAAUGUGGAAUAUAGCAUAUAGUCGACAAGAGAAAUCUACGAAAAACAAACAAAACUUUCAACAACGGAUCUCUUGGUUCUCGCAUCGAUGAAGAGCGCAGCGAAAUGCGAUACCUAGUGUGAAUUGCAGCCAUCGUGAAUCAUCGAGUUCUUGAACGCACAUUGCGCCCCUCGGCAUUCCGGGGGGCAUGCCUGUUUGAGCGUCGUUUCCAUCUUGCGCGUGCGCAGAGUUGGGGGAGCGGAGCGGACGACGUGUAAAGAGCGUCGGAGCUGCGACUCGCCUGAAAGGGAGCGAAGCUGGCCGAGCGAACUAGACUUUUUUUCAGGGACGCUUGGCGGCCGAGAGCGAGUGUUGCGAGACAACAAAAAGCUCGACCUCAAAUCAGGUAGGAAUACCCGCUGAACUUAAGCAUAUCAAUAAGCGGAGGAA
rnacentral:rRNA from 2 species